rnacentral:misc_RNA from 1 species
ACCACACAGACAGCACGAUAGUCUUGCAGAGGAGAGCGUUUCUCACGAGUGGAUUUACAACUGACUGACCAAUCAACCUUCAUCAGAACUUUCUGAAGUUGUGGUGGUGGGAAAGUGGUGGUGGGAAAGCUAGGUUUUCAGGGAGGUUGCUGACAGCCAGGUGAUGACCAGCAUCUUUCACCAGUAGUCUCCUGGUCUUCCACUGCAUCUCCAAUUUCUUGCCACCACAGACGGAUGUUUCAGUGAAGUAGUUUUGCUGCAACCUCUCUGCCAUCUGCCAUGCGAUGGGCGCUAGAGCACAUCCCGUUGAGGAAGUCGGUAGCUAGGGGUGGAGGAGCAAAGUUCAAGUUAACAAAGCUGAUGUUUAAUGGUAGCUACUAGAGAUCCUGGAUGCUGACUCUGCCUGGGUUUUCACAAUGCCUGGACCUAAAAGUGCUGAAAUGCCCUGAAACUGCACAUCAAACAUCAGUCUUUGAUAAGACAGGACCUGAGUAACCUGAGUAAGUCAUCAGACGCCUGUUAUCAGAACCACAAGAAGAGGAACAUGUGUUUCAGGUUUUCCUGCUCUUACCAAGAAGACGUUGCUCUUGAUGCUGGAAUGCCCUGAAACUGCACCACUUUGUGAUGACAUCAAACAUCAGAGAAACUACAUCCAAGGUGCCUUGGGCCUAUUUAGAAUGUACUAGGCUGUUAAAUGAGAAAAAAAGGUUAUAUGGGCAAUUCCAUGCUGGUGGAGACACAAGACCAAACAAUUAUUCUACGGUUUGUUCAA